rnacentral:rRNA from 1 species
AACCUCCUCAAUGCACUAAAGUGCGAAGGGGUUACCUCGAGUGCCAUCUGAUGAAGGUGGCUUUUCCUUGGUCUAAAAAGCCUAGGGAAUAAGAGGGGGGCAAGACUGGUGUCAGCCGCCGCGGUAACACCAGCCCCUCGAGUGGUGGGGAUGAUUAUUUGGCCUAAAGCGUCCGUAGCCGGCCGGGUAAGUUUCCCGUUAAAUCCAACGUCUCAAGCGUUGGACUGCGGGAAAUACUGCCUAGCUAGAGAGUGGGAGAGGUCAGCGGUAUUCUGGGGGUAGGGGCGAAAUCCUUUGAUCCCCGGAGGACCACCAGUGGCGAAGGCUGCUGACUAGAACACGUCUGACGGUCAGGGACGAAAGCUGGGGUAGCGAACCGGAUUAGAUACCCGGGUAG